GCUAAAGUUAUUCCCAUUGUAGUAAAGCUAGGACACAGUCGCUUCCAAUUAAUUUGAAUUUGAACAAGUCUAAUUUGAGUUUCAUGUUUGGUCUUGUUUAGUCCCCAAUUUUGAAUGUAGUUAUUUAAUUUAGAUUUUGAAGCCUUUACCCCAAGGACAAUUUUCUAUGAGCAUAAGAAAUUUCUUGAAAAUCCCAUUUAUGAAGAAGGCCAUGUUACAAGG
rnacentral:lncRNA from 1 species